rnacentral:tRNA from 1 species
GCCACCCUAGCUCAACGGUAGAGCUACUGUUUUGUAAACAGUAGGUUAUCGGUUCAAAUCCGGUGGGUGGCUCAA